rnacentral:rRNA from 1 species
AAUUAUUCCUGUAGGUAGUAAUUAAACCAAUAUGCGCUGGCGGUCUUUAGUUAUUAGAGAAACUCGCUUUAUAAUCGUAAACACCCGUUAACUCUGACUUAAUCAAACAAGCCUAUAUACCGCCGUUAUUAAGGAUUUAACUAAGCUUAAAACCCAACAAAUGUAUCACAAAUAAAAAAUCAGGUCAAGGUGUAGCCAAUAAUUAAGAAAAAGUAAGUUACAAUAAACAUAAUUUAAGGACUAUAGACAAAAAUCAACACAAAAGAGAAUUUAAAAGUACAUAUUAAUUAAAAUUUAAGAUUGAAAUCCCCUAUAAAGAUGC